UGACUAAGCCCCUGCUCACCCA
rnacentral:miRNA from 1 species